rnacentral:rRNA from 1 species
AGCGAACGCUGGCGGCAGGCUUAACACAUGCAAGUCGAGCGCCCCGCAAGGGGAGCGGCAGACGGGAGAGUAACACGUGGGAACAUACCUUUUGGUUCGGAACAACUGAGGGAAACUUCAGCUAAUACCGGAUAAGCCCUUACGGGGAAAGAUUUAUCGCCGAAAGAUUGGCCCGCGUCUGAUUAGCUAGUUGGUGAGGUAACGGCUCACCAAGGCGACGAUCAGUAGCUGGUCUGAGAGGAUGAUCAGCCUCACUGGGACUGAGACACGGCCCAGACCCCUACGGGAGGCAGCAGUGGGGAAUAUUGGACAAUGGGGGCAACCCUGAUCCAGCCAUGCCGCGUGAGUGAUGAAGGCCUUAGGGUUGUAAAGCUCUUUUGCCCGGGAAGAUAAUGACGGUACCGGGAGAAUAAGCCCCGGCUAACUUCGUG